rnacentral:rRNA from 1 species
GACGAACGCUGGCGGCGUGCUUAACACAUGCAAGUCGAACGGUGAAGGGGCCUGCUUUUGUGGGUCCUGGAUGAGUGGCGAACGGGUGAGUAACACGUGAGUAACCUGCCCCCUUCUUCUGGAUAACCGCAUGAAAGUGUGGCUAAUACGGGAUAUUCUGGGUCUGUCGCAUGGUGGGCCUGGGAAAGAUUGCGCCUUUUUUGGUGUUUUUGGUGGGGGAUGGGCUCGCGGCCUAUCAGCUUGUUGGUGGGGUGAUGGCCUACCAAGGCGGUGACGGGUAGCCGGCCUGAGAGGGUGGACGGCCACACUGGGACUGAGACACGGCCCAGACUCCUACGGGAGGCAGCAGUGGGGAAUAUUGCACAAUGGGCGCAAGCCUGAUGCAGCGACGCCGCGUGAGGGAUGGAGGCCUUCGGGUUGUGAACCUCUUUCGCCAGUGAAGCAGGCCUGCCUCGUUUGUGG